UUAACACAGACAACACCACCCAUAACAGCGCGUGAGGAGGUGCAAAGGUGUGUGUUUACUGAACUCUACAAAAAAAAGGAGAGGAGAUACAAACUGACAAAGGAGCAACUCCUGAAAGCAAAGGAUCCAAUCCAUCUGUCCUCAAACUACUGCACUCAUACUAAAACAAAAAAAAAACAAAAAAAAAAACAUGGGUAGAGGUGAGAGUGAGGAGUGGGACGAAAAGCACCACGACACACGGCAAACUCAGCCCCAGAGAUACAGCGAGACAGAGAGUAAAAGCUCGGAGAGCAGCUGUCCCAAGUGCUGCUUGCGGACGAGGGACUGUCUCAUGAGCCCGGAGUGCGGCAGGGCGCUCCAGAUCUCCAGUGUCGUCGCCUGGUGCGGCAUGUGCAUCCGCAUGUUUGUCUAACCUAACCUUGGACAUCAGGACCAACUUUUCACAGCUUCGUUGAUUCUCAGUGUCCUCCAGCACGCUGUGUGAGCCAUGCUGUGUGACUCUCUUCUAAUCUGAGAUGAAAAAUACUCACUUUGAGUUUUGUAAGCUCGCUAUCCACAAGUUAUUUAACAUGAACUAUAUUCAACUGUUUCCAUAAAACCAACUAGAAAGGGAAUAUUCAUUAUUAAAAAAAAGAACAGUUACACAUUAGUAGUACUGAAUGCAAGAAUGAAUGUGACUUUAAUCAGUACGUCUUUGUAAGAGGUUUGUUUGGAUACUUUGAAGGUUUAUGAGACUGAUUGCUUCUGAUUGAUCAAAAUGACACAGUAUUUGGAUGUUGUAUAUUUAUAGUUGAGAGGUUUUAAGUAAUGUAAAAUAAGUGUUACAUCAUGAUAAUAAUAAAAACUAU